UUCCUGCUAACUAAUGAGUCUCCUCUUUGUGCAGUGUACAAGUCUCCGGAAUAUGAAUCCCUUGGCUUUGAGCUUACUGUGGAGAGAUUAGUGUCCAUCGGCUAUCCUCAGGAGCUGCUCAACUUUGCAUAUGAUUCGACAUUCCCUACCAGAGGACUUGUCUUUGACACACUCUAUGGAAAUCUCUUGAAAGUUGAUGCCUAUGGAAACCUCUUGGUUUGUGCACAUGGAUUUAACUUCAUAAGAGGACCAGAAACUAGAGAGCAGUAUCCAAAUAAGUUUAUCCAACGAGAUGAUACUGAACGGUUUUACAUUCUGAACACACUCUUCAACCUUCCAGAAACCUACCUGUUGGCCUGCCUAGUAGAUUUUUUUACUAAUUGUCCCAGAUAUACCAGUGAAUUUAGUGCUAGUGAGAGAUGCCACAUUGCCAGCCUGAGAGAUGGACAGCACCAGCAGCUCCAUGCAGGCUCUCACCUCCCACACGGCCCCUCUCCUUGCCAGUGUGCUGCAGCCAUGUUUGGAAGGGACCACUGACUGGGAUUGAAGACGGCCAGCAGAGGUGCUAAUUGUGACAACUGAGUGGGAGUUGUGACACAGGAUUUAAAGAUGGGGACCUCUUCAUGUCCUACAGGAGUAUGUUCCAGGAUGUAAGGGACGCAGUGGACUGGGUCCAUUACAAGGGUUCCCUUAAGGAAAAGACAGUUGAAAAUCUUGAGAAGUAUGUAGUCAAAGAUGGCAAGUUGCCGUUGCUUCUGAGCCGAAUGAAGGAAGUGGGGAAAGUGUUUCUGGCCACUAACAGUGACUAUAAGUACACAGAUAAAAUCAUGACUUACCUGUUUGAUUUCCCACAUGGCCCCAAGCCUGGGAGCUCCCACCGGCCGUGGCAGUCCUACUUUGAUCUGAUUUUGGUGGAUGCACGGAAAC
rnacentral:lncRNA from 1 species